UGUGAGGGUGAUGAGUUGCACACUGGUGGAGCCAAAGCAUCGGUCGAUGUGGGCGCCGCUCAGUAUCACCUUGGUGACAGAACCAGGUGCACAGGGGCCAUCUGACUCUCA
rnacentral:snoRNA from 13 species